AAAAUAAGAUGCAGAAUUCAUGAUGAUGUGUCCAAGAUUUUUUUUGGGUCCUCUUCUCCUUUCUUUUUCUUCUCCUUAUUAUGUUUCUUGCAGCAUUAUCAACCAACAUUUAUGCGAUUCAUUUGCCUUAUUAUAACACAGUAGACUUAUAAACCAAGCAUUUAGGAAGUCAUAGACUUUGCCUACCCUACUUUAUCCACUUUCAACCCAUUUACCUUCUUCAUCAACUACCACCAUGAUCGAGAAUCUUCUUAUUCUCCUUCAAUGAUGGGUCUUUCAGGUACACCAUGCUCUCUGCAUUUUCUAUACACUUUCAUUUUAUUUUUAUUUUUUGGGCACUCUUCCUACCCUCUUUUGGAUUCUAAUACCCCAUUUGAGAUUUUGAUUCAAAAUCUAUUUUUUAUGUGUUUGCAGGCUUUUUUUUACUUGAUCUCCUUUCUAUUCAUUGCUAUAUGAAACUAAACUCUAUUCUUUGAUUGUCUAGCUAUAAAUUCUGCAAGAAUAUUAGGCUGUGCGUUUGUAAUUUGUGUCAUUCUUUUUUUUUCCCACAUUCAUCUGUAAUUCUUCAAUUCUUGUUGGGUCACCUUCUAUGCUUCUGAUAUGUCUGAAAUGAUAGCCUUGUAGUGUUUACAAGUAAGGAAAGUGGAAAAAAAUACGUAGUAGAGUUGAAAAGGAAGUCGGUUCUUGUUUCUUGUUCAUGAAUCAAUAUCAAGAAUCUUGAAUCAAGAAAUAAGAAUCUUGAAUCAGAAUUCAAGAUCCUGGUUCUUGAUGAAGAAUCAAGAUCAAUCAAGAUCUUGAUUUUUGUUGAAUCUUGACUUCAAGAAUCAAGAUCUUGAGUCUUGAAUUCAAAAAUCAAGAAUCAAGAUCUUGAUCAAGAAUCAAGAUUCAAGAAUCAAAAUCUUGAAUUCAAGAAUCAAGAUCUUGAAUCUUGAUUUCAAGAAUCUCUCGAUUCUUGAACUUGAGUCUUGGCUUUGCUCUUCAUUUUCAUUUCUGUUUCUUUUACUGAAGUUGAGGUAAAAUUCUGCAUUUUCAUUACUGAAGUUCUAUAUAUGUUUGUUUUAUGUUUCGUCCAAAAAAAUAUUUCUUUUACUGAAGUAUCAUCACUGCUUAAUAUGAUACUUGCAUAUGAUGCAGAGAAUCCUGUUUUGUUAUCACUUGUUUAAGUACUGUCCAGGUGUUUAUUCUUAUUUCUUUUUCUGAAGUACUUGCUGGCUUUUGUGUACUUAUUAUGAAAGAAGGGUGUAAGAGGCCUUAAUGGAUGAGAAGAUAUCAUGCAAAAAAACAUAUUAUAGUUUACAAUAAUUAUUAUACUUGCUGCUAUGAGUUGUACAUCUGUGAUAUAUAUGGAGAUUAAUUCCAUGUCUAUCCGGAUUUCUCUGCUUUUAUUCCGAGAGAUUUAUGUAUUAAUCAUUGACACAUUAUGUUAAGCAACUGUUACUAUUUGUUGUGGUGUUAGCUUUGUCUGUCUUAAACAAUCCUCAUGUAUGAAGAUAGACAAAAACAGGUGUAAGAGCCACUUAAGA
rnacentral:lncRNA from 1 species